rnacentral:rRNA from 3 species
UUGGAGACCUCAAAUCAGGUAGGACUACCCGCUGAACUUAAGCAUAUCAAUAAGCGGAGGAAAAGAAACUAACAAGGAUUCCCCUAGUAACUGCGAGUGAAGCGGGAAAAGCUCAAAUUUGAAAUCUGGCAGUUCUURACUGUCCGAGUUGUAAUCUAGAGAAGUGUUACCUGUGCUGGACCGUGUACAAGUCUCCUGGAAUGGAGCAUCAUAGAGGGUGAGAAUCCCGUCUUUGACACGGACUACCUGUGCGUUAUGGUGCGCUCUCAAAGAGUCGAGUUGUUUGGGAAUGCAGCUCAAAAUGGGUGGUAAAUGCCAUCUAAAGCUAAAUAUUGGCGAGAGACCGAUAGCGAACAAGUACCGUGAGGGAAAGAUGAAAAGAACUUUGGAAAGAGAGUUAAACAGUACGUGAAAUUGCUGAAAGGGAAACGCUUGAAGUCAGUCGCGUUGGCUAGAAAUCAGCCUUGCUCUUGCACGGUGUACUUUCUGGUCGACGGGUCAGCAUCAAUUUUGACCAUUGGAUAAAGUCUUUGGGAAUGUGGCAUCUCAGGAUGUGUUAUAGCCCAUUGUCGCAUACGGUGGUUGGGAUUGAGGAACUCAGCACGCCGCAAGGCCAGGUUUCGACCAUGUUCGUGCUUAGGAUGCUGGCAUAAUGGCUUUAAUCGACCCGUC